GAUCCUGGCUCAGGAUGAACGCUAGCUACAGGCUUAACACAUGCAAGUCGAGGGGCGAGCAUGGUCUUAGCUUGCUAAGGCCGAUGGCGACCGGCGCACGGGUGAGUAACACGUAUCCAACCUGCCGUCUACGUCUUGGACAGCCUUCUGAAAGGAAGAUUAAUACAAGAUGGCAUCAUGAGUCCGCAUAGUUCACAUGAUUAAAGGUAUUCCGGUAGACGAUGGGGA
rnacentral:rRNA from 1 species